rnacentral:piRNA from 1 species
UGCAACAGCGUUAGCAGCUGCCUGCU